AGUGAACGCUGGCGGUAGGCCUAACACAUGCAAGUCGAACGGCAGCACAGUAAGAGCUUGCUCUUACGGGAGGCGAGUGGUGGACGGGUGAUGAAUACCUCGGAAUCUACUUUUUCGUGGCGGAUAACGUAGGGAAACUCACGCUAAUACCGCAUACGACCUACGGGUGAAAGCAGGGGAUCUUCGGACCUUGCGCGAUUGCAUGAGCCGAUGUCGGUUUAGCUAGUUGGCGGGGUAAAGGCCCACCAAGGCGACGAUCCGUAGCUGGUCUGAGAGGAUGAUCAGCCACACUGGAGCUGGGACGCGGUCCAGACUCCUAAGGGAGGCAGCAGUGUGGAAUAUUGGACAAUGGGCGCAAGCCUGACCCAGUGGUACCGCGUGGGUGAAGAAGGCGUUCGGGUUGUAAAGCCCUUUUGUUGGGAAAGAAAAGCAGCAGGUUAAUACCCCGCUUUUCUGACGGUACCCAAAGAAUAAGCGCCGGCUAACUUCGUG
rnacentral:rRNA from 1 species